GAUGAACGCUGGCGGCGUGCCUAAUACAUGCAAGUCGAGCGAACAGACGAGGAGCUUGCUCCUCUGACGUUAGCGGCGGACGGGUGAGUAACACGUGGACAACCUACCUAUAAGACUGGGAUAACUUUGGGAAACCGGAGCUACUACCGGAUAAUAUAUCGAACUGCAUGGUUCAAUAGUGAAAGACGCUUUUGCUGUCACUUAUAGAUGGAUCCGCGCCGCAUUAGCUAGUUGGUAAGGUAACGGCUUACCAAGGCAACGAUGCGUAGCCGACCUGAGAGGGUGAUCGGCCACACUGGAACUGAGACACGGUCCAGACUCCUACGGGAGGCAGCAGUAGGGAAUCUUCCGCGAUGGGCGAAAGCUUGACGGAGCAACGCCGCGUGAGUGAUGAAGGUCUUCGGAUCGUAAAACUCUGUUAUUAGGGAAGAACAAAUGUGUAAGUAACUAUGCACGUCUUGACGGUACCUAAUCAGAAAGCCACGGCUAACUACGUG
rnacentral:rRNA from 1 species